GUAGAAGUUCCUUCUGAAGAAGGAAGUCCUGAAUAUAUGAAUGGCAUCUGUGAGUUGCUUUUGGGGAGUCAGAUGUUGCCUCCGACGUUCACAUAUGGCUCAAAUUCAGGGGUAAAAUGCUACCAGUUCGGACCGAUUCAGGCGAACCUGCUGAGAAAGGCGGAAGGGAAAAGAAGAAGAAGAAAAUGAUGAUCAGAAACAGGGGGAUUCAAUUAUGUUGCUGAAGUAUCUACUAUUGGAAGACCCGAAGGACCAGAUCGGGAGCUGAUCAUUCUGAAGAAGGGAAACUGCCCAUUGAUGGAGAAAUGACAGUUGUACACUCAUCUCUUGAACAUCCGGACAGGGACCUUACCUGAAGACGUAGGGCGACAGCCAAGCUGAGAUCUCAGGACAGCAAUGUCAGGUCUGUCAACAACCAAACAUUCUCCUUUCAAGGUCACGAAAUGUGGGGCAGACCGUCCACUCAAACAAGGGAAGGGUGAGAAGCGGCAGCAAUGGCUUUAAACCACAGUUAGGUACAGGAAGGAAACUUCCUGGAUGCUGACAGAAAGCAAUCCACUUUUCAAGCUGGCUUCUUUCUCAUUUGCAAUAAAGAACCUAACUCUCUAACUCUGCUGUGUUUGUGUCGGAGACACUUCUGCCAAGGCUUGAAUCUAGCAGCCAAGAUGAGCUGUGUGCGAAGUUGGAGGGAAAUGGAGAUUUACUGCUGAGUCCUGGGCUGGCAACCCUAACAGCGGAAAAAUGUUCUCGCUCGUGAACCACUUUGAAUUGGUGGUAAUGAAACACAAGGUAAUGUGAGGACCGUCCAAAUUGAAAAGGUGCAAUGCAGGAUAAAAUGGAGCCUCCGCAGCUGUGCGGGGCCUAAUGAAUAUUUUAAGGAAAUUAAUCAAUAGAAGUUCUGUAUUAAAAAUAACCUAUUAGCAGGCACCUGCUGAAGACGGUUUUUCCCGCUAACCAAUUGCGUGUCAAUUUCUAAAAUCCCAUUCUUUCCCAUUCAUUUUUAAUAAAUACAUUUAGACUUUA